UCGGCCUUAGUGGCGCACGGGUGCGUAACGCGUGGGACUCUGCCCUUGGGUUUGGAAUAACAGUUGGAAACGACUGCUAAUACCGGAUGAUGACUUCGGACCAAAGAUUUAUCGCCCAAGGAUGAGCCCGCGUCGGAUUAGCUAGUUGGUGAGGUAAAGGCUCACCAAGGCGACGAUCCUUAGCUGGUCUGAGAGGAUGAUCAGCCACACUGGGACUGAGACACGGCCCAGACUCCUACGGGAGGCAGCAGUGGGGAAUAUUGGACAAUGGGCGAAAGCCUGAUCCAGCAAUGCCGCGUGAGUGAUGAAGGCCUUAGGGUUGUAAAGCUCUUUUACCCGGGAAGAUAAUGACUGUACCGGAAGAAUAAGCUCCGGCUAACUCCCGUGCCAGCAGCCGCGGUAAU
rnacentral:rRNA from 1 species